rnacentral:rRNA from 1 species
UGACCGUACUAAGGUAGCAUAAUAAUUUGCCUUUUAAUUGGAGGCUAGUAUGAAUGGUUUGACGUGAAAUAUACUGUCUCAACUAUAUUUAGUAGAAUUUAACCUUUAGGUGAAGAGGCCUAAAUUUUGUGGGAAGACAAGAAGACCCUAUUGAGCUUUAAAUAUUUGUGUUAGUGGGAACCUAAGAUUUAUAUGAUGGUCAUUACCUCUAAGUAUGUUGGUUGGGGCGACCGAGGAAUGUAAAAUAACCUCCUUGUAAUGUAAAGAAUUUGUUAUCAACGAACCUGUAAUAUAGGUUAUUCGGUAGUUACCAUAGGGAUAACAGCGUAAUUCUUUUGAAGAGUUCAUAUCGAAGAAAGAGAUUGCGACCUCCAUGUUGGAUUAAGGUGUCCUAAGGG